AUGAACGCUGGCGGCGUGCUUAACACAUGCAAGUCGAACGAUGAUGCCAGCUUGCUGGUGGAUUAGUGGCGAACGGGUGAGUAACACGUGAGUAACCUGCCCUUAACUCUGGGAUAAGCCUGGGAAACUGGGUCUAAUACCGGAUAUGACUCCUCAUCGCAUGGUGGGGGGUGGAAAGCUUUUUUGUGGUUUUGGAUGGACUCGCGGCCUAUCAGCUUGUUGGUGAGGUAAUGGCUCACCAAGGCGACGACGGGUAGCCG
rnacentral:rRNA from 1 species